UACGUAGGGGGCGAGCGUUGUCCGGAUUUAUUGGGCGUAAAGAGCGUGUAGGCGGCCAGGUAGGUCUGCUGUGAAAACUCGAGGCUCAACCUCGAGCUGUCGGCGGAAACCAUCUGGCUAGAGUCCGGAAGAGGAGAGUGGAAUUCCUGGUGUAGCGGUGAAAUGCGCAGAUAUCAGGAAGAACACCUAUGGCGAAGGCAGCUCUCUGGGACGGUACUGACGCUGAGACGCGAAAGCGUGGGGAGCGAACAGG
rnacentral:rRNA from 1 species